UACAUGCAGAGGUGGAGCAAGA
rnacentral:miRNA from 1 species